rnacentral:lncRNA from 1 species
CCGGCAUCCUCAAGUCCAACGACCCCGUCGGCUUCAACCUCGUCGACGUCCUCGCCUGGGGCUCCAUCGGCCACAUCGUCGCCUACUACAUCCUCGCCACCACCAGCAACGGAUACGACCCACCCUUCUUCGGCUGAUCCGUCCCACGUCUCCCCUGCCUGCCCGCCUGCGUGCCGGCCGGAGCGGCUUGCUGUUGUAAUCUGCCGUGUUUUCACUAGUUCUAUAUUAUACGCUGAUGGUGUACUAUCAUGUUUGUAUGUGUGUGAGGUGGUGAAAGAUUGAUUAAUCUGGACAGGUAGUGCAACCGCGUGUGUGUACUCAGUGCCACAUGAAUGAUUUUAUCUCUCUUUUCCCCAUAGUAGAAAAGCAAUUUUAGUGUGCACGGGAUAUCAUGUGCGUAGAUCCACCGUCUGUGGUUGCUUUGAGAUCAGUGCUACUUUUAUCUU